GACGAACGCUGGCGGCGUGCUUAACACAUGCAAGUCGAACGGAAAGGCCCUGCUUUUGUGGGGUGCUCGAGUGGCGAACGGGUGAGUAACACGUGAGUAACCUGCCCUUGACUUUGGGAUAACUUCAGGAAACUGGGGCUAAUACCGGAUAGGAGCUCCUGCUGCAUGGUGGGGGUUGGAAAGUUUCGGCGGUUGGGGCUGGACUCGCGGCUUAUCAGCUGGUUGGUGGGGUAGUGGCUUACACAGGCUUUGACGGGUAGCCGGCCUGGGAGGGUGACCGGCCACAUUGGGACUGAGAUAGGGCCCAGACUCGUACGGGAGGCAGCAGUGGGGAAUAUGGCACAAUGGGCGGAAGCCUGAGGCAGAAACGCCGCGUGCGGGAUGACGGCCUUCGGGUUGUAAACCGCUUUCGCCUGUGACGAAGCGUGAGUGACGGUAAUGGGUAAAGAAGCACCGGCUAACUACGUG
rnacentral:rRNA from 1 species